rnacentral:rRNA from 1 species
ACGGAAGGCAGCAGUGGGGAAUAUUGCGCAAUGGGGGAAACCCUGACGCAGCGACGCCGCAUGAGUGAAGAAGUAUUUCGGUAUGUAAAGCUCUAUCAGCAGGGAAGAAAAUGACGGUACCUGACUAAGAAGCCCCGACUAACUACGUGCCAGCAGCCGCGGUAAUACGUAGGGGGCAAGCGUUAUCCGGAUUUACUGGGUGUAAAGGGAGCGUAGACGGUGAAGCAAGUCUGAAGUGAAAGGCAGGGGCUCAACCCCUGGACUGCUUUGGAAACUGUUUUACUAGAGUGCAGGAGAGGUAAGCGGAAUUCCUAGUGUAGCGGUGAAAUGCGUAGAUAUUAGGAGGAACACCAGUGGCGAAGGCGGCUUACUGGACUGUAACUGACGUUGAGGCUCGAAAGCGUGGGGAGCAAACAGGAUUAGAUACCCUGGUA